UAGGGAAUCUUCCACAAUGGGCGAAAGCCUGAUGGAGCAACGCCGCGUGUGUGAUGAAGGCUUUAGGGUCGUAAAGCACUGUUGUAUGGGAAGAAAUGCUAGAAUAGGGAAUGAUUCUAGUUCGACGGUACCAUACCAGAAAGGGACGGCUAAAUACGUGCCAGCAGCCGCGGUAAUACGUAUGUCCCGAGCGUUAUCCGGAUUUAUUGGGCGUAAAGCGAGCGCAGACGGUUGAUUAAGUCUGAUGUGAAAGCCCGGAGCUCAACUCCGGAAUGGCAUUGGAAACUGGUUAACUUGAGUGUUGUAGAGGUAAGUGGAACUCCAUGUGUAGCGGUGGAAUGCGUAGAUAUAUGGAAGAACACCAGUGGCGAAGGCGGCUUACUGGACAACAACUGACGUUGAGGCUCGAAAGUGUGGGUAGCAAACAGGAUUAGAUACCCUGGUAGUCCACACCGUAAACGAUGAAUACUAGGUGUUAGGAGGNUUCCGCCUCUUANUGNCGAAGCUAACGCAUUAANUAUUCCGCCUGGGGAGUACGACCGCAAGGNUG
rnacentral:rRNA from 1 species